CCCUUAAGGCCUAUCGAUGUAACCCAAUAUGUGUCCACUUUAUAUAUGUGUAGUUUGCAAUUUGUAAUUUGUAGCAAGGGAUGUGUGCACAGGACAGCACAUACCACGGCCCUUGACAUACCAGUGGCACUGGUUGGAUAUAGCCUAUUGAACCACCGACGGGGAUCGAUCCUAGAUCGACCACUGUAUUUACCCAUUUGGUAAAAUUUAUAGUAAACGGUCAGGGCUAGUGGUCUAGAGAAGUACUCUGUGCAGUUAUUUCCUUGAUCUAUAAAUAUUCUAAAAAUAUAUAACAUGGACUUAUCGCAAUAUAUUAUUAUUAUUAUUAUUAUAUUAUGUCACAACCGUAUUUUAUUGUACAUAAGUUGUGGAGUAUUGGUUGUGUAGAUUAUUUGAAUAUUUUAUUUAGCCUAUUACUCGCAGUUGUCAUAUGGUACCUUUUCACACGUGCAGUCAAAUACCCUAGCACUUGCAAUGGUUUGGUCUGCAGUGGCACAGCGUGAUUGUGGACUAGUCCAUUUUCGUUGACACUUGGUUAAAAGUGCUGGUCAGGGCUAUUGUUGGGGGAACCCAGAGCUGUGAUGCACAUGGUGCACGGGCAGUGAUACAUGGUGUGUGGACACGUGUCACGUUUUGGAACUAGAGAGGUUUCCUGUGAACAGCUGGGGUCGGGUGUAUUAUUGUGAGCUGGGGUGAUGAUGGGUUACCAGCAGCUUGUUGCGUCACCGUGGGGACUGAUACCGAUGGCCUCGUUGAUAGUGGAAGAGUGACGGUCGGAUUUAUUAAGUUGGGGUGAUAAUGGUUACCAGCAGCUUCUGGUGUCACCGUUGACCGACACUAUAAAUGGCCUUAUUUAUGGAACAGAGUGACGGCGAGUCGAGGGUUGCAAGUACAAAGCAACACUGUCGAUGAACUUGACCUGGACUUGGUUACACAUAUUUGAAAGGGUUCUCUAUUCCAGAGACUGAUAAUUUACUGGUGCUUGGUGCCUGGGUGUUAUUAUAUAUGAACAGUAUUACCUUAUUUCCAGUGAAUUGUUUAUAAACCACCACUAAAUAUUAAGAUUAAUAAUUAUUUAUUGAUUCUUGGUGAAAUACAAAUGUAAAAUUA